GGCUGGUCUAAAAGUAGUGAGUUAUCUCAAUGGAUUGCUCACGUCAGUUACAGAUGGAAGUCCUUGUUCCAUUUUUCCCUGCUUCCCACUACCGUACUUGACUAGUCUCAA
ensembl:misc_RNA Y_RNA Y RNA